rnacentral:rRNA from 1 species
AUGACGAAGUCCGUUUUGAAUGAGAGCCUAGCAGAUUGUGGUAAGGUGGGCUUAUCCCCCUUCUGCAAGGCUAACCCGGCUCCAGCGGCGGGUGACAAAUUCUGGAAGGUCAAAUAUGACCAUGAAGCUGCGAAGAAAGCCAGGAAGGCCAAGAGAGCCGCCAGAAAAGAGGCUGCAAAGAAGAAGGGCAAGAAAGCCACCACCUCUGACUUGCUUCGGCUAGAAGAUUCUUCCGAGUCGGAGGAGGACACAGGAGCAAGCCAUAGCAAGGAUGAAGAGCGACAGAUUCAUGAGAGCCGGAGGCAGACCCGGACCAGCAAGGAUGCGGAGCUCUCCUCUGGCUUACCUAACACUCCAAGGAAGCGCCGGAAUGAGGAAACUUCCCCUUCCUCUGACGACUCAAUGCAGUCCAAUCUGCCUGCUUUCAAGACCGCUCCAGGUGGAAAAGCAAAGCCCAGUCAAAGGGUGAAGAAGACCAAUCCGACCGAAGAACCGAUCCUUAAUGAGCCGAAACUUGAAACGGAUGCCCCUGAAACUUCAACUCAUGAGCCGCCGCCUGAGCCGGUUGAAGACACACCAACUCCAACUGCUGACCCGGCUGCCGAGCAAGCCGCCGAUGGCUCGGAAAACCCGGAAGCUCCUAGCCUGGUCUGGACGGAUGAUCCUCAAGACCGUGAUGUCGAAAUCACCAAGACCAGUUUUGCUGAGCCGGGGAGGCCGACUAUACUGGCCAAGUGUUCCGCCAACGAGGAGCUUCUAGAACGCUGUCGGGUCAAGCUUGAUGUCGCUGACUAUACGCACAUGAGCAUUGGAGAAGUCUUUUCUGGCUAUAUGAGCCAAGUGCACAGCAGCCGUGACAUCGAAAUUGACAUGGUGAAACAGAUGCACCCGAAAUUUGAGGCCACCACUAGUCAACUUGAGUCAGAAAUCUCUGAUCCAAAGAACCGCCUUUAG